rnacentral:tRNA from 1 species
GCAGGCCUGGGCGGCGGGCACCAACGCCGCGACCGGCGGCGCGGCGGGAUGGUUCGGCGUCGCCGGCCUGAC